rnacentral:tRNA from 1 species
GGAUUUAUGGUUUAGUAUCAGAACUCAUAAUCCAUUGGUCGCAGGUUCAAGUCCUGCUGGGCCCA